rnacentral:ncRNA from 1 species
ACGUUAUCACGAAAGGCAGAGGGAUUAGACCCAAUGAAGCUUUGGCAACCUCUCAGAAAUGAGAAAGGUGCUACAUUCUACAAUCUAUUUUGAUGAUUUAUCAAAACAGUAAUUGACAGAUAACAG